rnacentral:rRNA from 1 species
UACGUAGGUGGCAAGCGUUGUCCGGAAUUAUUGGGCGUAAAGCGCGCGCAGGCGGUCCUUUAAGUCUGAUGUGAAAGCCCACGGCUCAACCGUGGAGGGUCAUUGGAAACUGGGGGACUUGAGUACAGAAGAGAAGAGUGGAAUUCCACGUGUAGCGGUGAAAUGCGUAGAGAUGUGGAGGAACACCAGUGGCGAAGGCGGCAUCCUGGACCGGCAUUGACGCUGAGGCGCGAAAGCCAGGGGAGCAAACGGG